GAUCAUGCCGCUUCUUCAGGUGCCCCGCCGCGUGAGCGAGGGGAGAAUCGGGAAGGCGGUGCAACUCCGCCACGUGCCCAACGCUGUGAGGAGGAUGUUGUCGACAUAAGUCACUGGUGAAAACCGGGAAGACGCCGGCAGCAGUCGAUUCCGAGUCAGAAGACCGGCCUGAAAAGUCUGCACCCC
rnacentral:ncRNA from 2 species